rnacentral:rRNA from 1 species
GAUGAACGCUAGCGGCAGGCUUAAUACAUGCAAGUCGAGGGGUAGCAAGAUUGUAGCAAUACAAUUGUUGACGACCGGCAAACGGGUGCGGAACACGUACACAACCUUCCUACAAGUGGGGAAUAGCCCAGAGAAAUUUGGAUUAAUACCCCGUAACAUAACGAUGUGGCAUCACAUUGCUAUUAUAGCUUCGGCGCUUGUUGAUGGGUGUGCGGCUGAUUAGAUAGUUGGCGAGGUAACGGCCCACCAAGUCUACGAUCAGUAGCUGAUGUGAGAGCAUGAUCAGCCACACGGGCACUGAGACACGGGCCCGACUCCUACGGGAGGCAGCAGUAAGGAAUAUUGGACAAUGGACGCAAGUCUGAUCCAGCCAUGCCGCGUGAAGGAUUAAGGUCCUCUGGAUUGUAAACUUCUUUUAUAAGGGACGAAAAAAGGUCUUUCUAGAUCGUCUGACGGUACCUUAUGAGUAAGCACCGGCUAACUCCGUGCCAGCCGCCGCCGUAACAC